GGUAACUCCAGCUCCAAAAGCGUAUAUUAAAGUUGCUGCAGUUAAAAAGCUCGUAGUUGGAUCUGGGUCGUGCGUUCACAUGUUGUUGCUUGGUUCUGAUUUCGGUCAGUUUCAGGUGAUGAUAAAGUGGGCGUGCAGCCUUUCAGCCGUGUCUGCGUAAGCAGGUGUUGGCUGGCUGGUGAGCUUGCUCGCUGGCUAGUUGACAUGUUUCCUGAUGCCUUUAAACGGGUGU
rnacentral:rRNA from 1 species